AUUGAACGCUGGCGGCAUGCUUUACACAUGCAAGUCGAACGGCAGCGCGGGCUUCGGCCUGGCGGCGAGUGGCGAACGGGUGAGUAAUGCAUCGGAACGUGCCCAGUAGUGGGGGAUAGCCCGGCGAAAGCCGGAUUAAUACCGCAUACGACCUGAGGGUGAAAGCGGGGGACCGAAAGGCCUCGCGCUAUUGGAGCGGCCGAUGUCGGAUUAGCUAGUUGGUGGGGUAAAGGCUUACCAAGGCGACGAUCCGUAGCUGGUCUGAGAGGACGACCAGCCACACUGGGACUGAGACACGGCCCAGACUCCUACGGGAGGCAGCAGUGGGGAAUUUUGGACAAAGGGGGCAACCCUGAUCCAGCCAUGCCGCGUGCGGGAAGAAGGCCUUCGGGUUGUGAACCGCUUUUGUUCGGGAAGAAAUCCUCUGGGCUAAUACCCCGGGGGGAUGACGGUACCGGAAGAAUAAGCACCGGCUAACUACGUG
rnacentral:rRNA from 1 species